AGCAGUAUGGUGUAAUGUUGCACACAGGGCUUUCUUAGCAAAGCAAUAUACAUCUGUAUUCCUGAGGUCCUUGUUCGAAUCAAGGUACUGUUC